GAUGAACGCUGGCGGCGUGCCUAAUACAUGCAAGUCGAGCGAACAGGCGAGGAGCUUGCUCCUCUGACGUUAGCGGCGGACGGGUGAGUAACACGUGGAUAACCUACCUAUAAGACUGGGAUAACUUCGGGAAACCGGAGCUAAUACGGGAUAAUAUAUUGAACCGCAUGGUUCAAUAGUGAAAGACGGUUUUGCUGUCACUUAUAGAUGGAUCCGCGCCGCAUUAGCUAGUUGGUAAGGUAACGGCUUACCAAGGCAACGAUGCGUAGCCGACCUGAGAGGGUGAUCGGCCACACUGGAACUGAGACACGGUCCAGACUCCUACGGGAGGCAGCAGUAGGGAAUCUUCCGCAAUGGGCGAAAGCCUGACGGAGCAACGCCGCGUGAGUGAUGAAGGUCUUCGGAUCGUAAAACUCUGUUAUUAGGGAAGAACAAAUGUGUAAGUAACUAUGCACGUCUUGACGGUACCUAAUCAGAAAGCCACGGCUAACUACGUG
rnacentral:rRNA from 1 species